rnacentral:misc_RNA from 1 species
AGAAAAUUGAAUGCUUAGUUAAUUUUAUCCACCAUUAUCUUGAUAGUGAAUGAAGUUGAUGAAAGGGAAUCCAGCAUAAAUCCUAAUCACCUACUCAUUUAGAACCAUCAUGGUACAACUGACAUGUCAUACCAUGAAAACACCAAUGUCUUAGCUAGCCAAGACGCUCAAGACGCAUAGGCCUUACCUCUUGUAGCCGGAUACCAAACACAAUUCUUACAUGAUUCUUUGGCAAAU